rnacentral:rRNA from 1 species
UCCCCUUCGGGGGACAAGUAGAGUGGCGCACGGGUGAGUAACACGUAGGUAAUCUACCUUCGGGUGGGGAAUAACAAUCGGAAACGGUUGCUAAUACCGCAUAAUGCAGCGGCACCUAAUGGUGACAGUUGUUAAAGCGGGGGAUCGAAAGAUCUCGCGCCUGAAGAGGAGCCUGCGGCGGAUUAGCUAGUUGGUAGGGUAAUGGCCUACCAAGGCGACGAUCCGUAGCCGGCCUGAGAGGGCGGUCGGCCACACUGACACUGACAUACGGGUCAGACUCCUACGGGAGGCAGCAGUCGGGAAUUUUGGGCAAUGGGCGAAAGCCUGACCCAGCAACGCCGCGUGAAGGAUGAAAUCCCUCGGGAUGUAAACUUCGCAAGAACGGGAAGAAUUAGUGGAAGUUAAUACCUUCCAUGAUGACGGUACCGUUUGUAAGCUCCGGCUAACUCCGUGCCAGCAGCCGCGGUAAUACGGGGGGAGCAAGCGUUGUUCGGAUUUACUGGGCGUAAAGGGCGCGUAGGCGGCCUCCGCAGGUCAGUUGUGAAAUCUCCGAGCUUAACUCGGAAAGGUCAACUGAUACUGCGGGGCUAGAGUGCGGAAGGGGCAACUGGAAUUCUUGGUGUAGCGGUGAAAUGCGUAGAUAUCAAGAGGAACACCUGCGGCGAAGGCGGGUUGCUGGGCCGACACUGACGCUGAGGCGCGAAAGCUAGGGGAGCGAACGGGAUUAGAUACCCCGGUAGUCCUAGCCUUAAACGAUGAAUGCUUGGUGUCUGGGGUUAUAUAGUCCCCGGGUGCCGUCGCUAACGCUUUAAGCAUUCCGCCUGGGGAGUACGGUCGCAAGACUG